rfam:Agrilus planipennis Contig69266, whole genome shotgun sequence.
AUUUAGCUAUGCAUCUACGAGUAAGACCUAGACAAAACGCAUGAAGAGGACCAUAAUUGGUCCUAGAACGGCCUGAGGUACAGGGGUUUAAGUCGGUAGAUUCGAGGACUUCUUCCCCGGGAAUCCGACACUACCCAGUCGUACGGACGGCUGGGUGUCUUUUGAAGAUUUCCCUUCUUCAACGAAA